rnacentral:rRNA from 1 species
AUUGAACGCUGGCGGCAGGCCUAACACAUGCAAGUCGAGCGAGCGGCGGACUGGUGAGUAAUGUCUGGGAAACUGCCUGAUGGAGGGGGAUAACUACUGGAAACGGUUGCUAAUACCGCAUACCAUCAGAUGUGCCCAGAUUGGAGUAGCUAGUAGGGUGGGUAAAGGCGGACCAAGGCGACGAUCCAUAGCUGGUCUGAGAGGAUGACGAGCCAAACUGGAACGGAGACACGGUCCAGACUCCUACGGGAGGCAGCAGUGGGGAAUAUUGGACAAUGGGCGAAAGCCUGAUGCAGCCAUGCCGCGUGUGUGAAGAAGGCCUUCGGGUUGUAAAGUACUUUCAGCAGGGAGGCGUUACCCGCAGAAGAAGCACCGGCUAACUCCGUGCCAGCAGCCGCGGUAAUUC